GCUUGUUGCUAUGCAGUCUGAGGAAGAACAGGAUGGGUCUUGUUUACAAACUCUGUGUAGAACUGAUAGUCAGCUGUCUAGCUGGUUAUCAAACACCAGGACAAGCGUGUAUAACGGAAUAAAGACUUAUAAGACUUCCUCUUCCUUCGUCAGGUCUUCCUCCACGCAGUAGUCCAGCACGGCUCCCACUCCGAAAGCCCUGUUCUUCCGAAUGAGGGGUUUGAUGGAUUGAUGAUCUUCUCCUGCCACAAACUGACCGUAGAAUGUCAUUUUCAUCAGUUUCUCAAACAACGUCUGACCCAGCAGCUUCUUACUCAGGUCCAUGAUCUGUCAGGAAGGAAUGGGAGACAUUUUGGAAAGUUACUUGGUUAGAGAUUUUUGAUUUUGUUAAAGACUUCGGUUAGACAAAAUGUUAUAAUUCACAUCAUGUCUGGUGUGUAUACCUUGUUUCACUUUCACAUAGAAUAUAGUGAUUAAUAAUCCAGUAAAAACCUACAUAAAACCUUUUCUGAAGAAUUAUUCAAACUGCCACAAAGAUCGAUUUAGUCUACAUUGAAAUUAGGUUGAUGUAACACCUCCAUCCAGACGUUUGUUGACAUAAGUUUGCGUCAUGGUUGUAGCACUUCAUGACAACUAAAAACGGAUCAAUUUUUUUUUUUCACUUUCUAGUUACACUGUUUCAUUGAGCAAGCUAUGACACGUCAUGGCCAUCGUAUGACUUGACCUGAUGCUUCUACUGAAUAGAAUGUUAUAAAAAUUAUAUAUAGGUUACUUUUUAAAUCAUUGUGAAGGCCUUAUGUAAGUAGGAGAAGGGUUAAGUAGCAGGGGCUUCUGGUAGUAAACUUUAGAAUAGCUUUCCUGACAGUGUUCAGGGUUUAGACACACUUUCCCAGUUUAAAUGUAGAUUAAAGACAUAUUUCUUCAGCCAGGCGUACACAUAACACAUCCCAUAACUUUGUGCUCCAGCAGAUCUGAUCACAUCCACAUUAUUAAAUAGUCCUGGUUAAUAUCAUGAACAGCAGAUACGCUAAUUCCUCUGCACACGCUUCUCUUUUUCUUCCCAUCCCGAGACAUUCAGAGAUUGUACCAGCUCCAGUUGUGUUCUGCUUCAUGAAGAUUUUGGACCUUCAGUGAGAACAGACCAACCCUGUGAGGAUCCUGAGGCAUCUACCAGCUCCAGUUGGAUUUCGUUUCAUGAAGAUUUUGAAUAUUCAAAGAGACGAUUCCAACUACAUUUGUUCUCUGAGGACAACAUCCUCUUCAUCAAUACACAAUUGUCAGACUGUAUCUGACUAUAGAAAGGACAUUAUUCAUAAUAACACUCUCCGGUGUUUAUAACAGUUUAUAAUCACACCCUCCAGUGUCACCCAAAUGAGGAUGAGGUUUCUUUUUGAGUCUGGUUCCUGUCAAGGUUUCUUCCUCUUCCACCUAAGGGAGUUUUUCCUCACCACUUUUGCCUCAGGCUUCCUCAUUAGGGAUAAAUGCAAAUAAAAUUUCAUAUGAAUCUUGAACUUUUUGUACUAUAUUUCUUGUUCUGUAAAGUUGCAUUAAGACAAUGUACAUUGUUAAUACCGCUAUACAAAUAAAAUUGAAUAUUAAAUUAUA